GCGGACACGCACCUCCUUUGCGCAGGCGCAAGGAUCAACCCAGACGCGGUGCACUCAGACGCCGAGUCUACGUAGGCGCUGGGACUGCGCAGGCGCUGGGACUGCGCAGGCGCGUGGCGUCGGACUUCCCUAGAGCGGGCUUGGACUCCAGCUGAACCCGGAAAGUUCCCGCGGGCGGACGCGGUAGGGGACCGCACCCUGAGGGACUGUCCGCCCAGGCUGGGCUCAGGGGGUCCGGGGGCUCAGGCGCCUCAGUAGCUCCAGACGAAAGACGGGGUGACGGCGUCAGGGGUGCCGCCGGGGCUGAAGGGCAAGCCCCGGGGUCCCCCGCGCCCCGGGACAGGUCCUCCCCACGCCCUGCUCCCAGGACAGAUCCUCCCCGCCCAGGGUCCCCAGCGCCACGGGUUAGGUCCUCCCCACGCCUCGUUCCCCGAGUUCCCCGAGAUAUGGCGUCCCCAUGGGACGCACCCCCCACCUCCGGUACUCGCCAGAGCCCCUAGGCUGGGGGGCGCUAAGGGAUGAAUUGCUUCAGAGCUAGGCUCCUUCAAACCUCUCCUUUUUCUGAGCUCCAGAUAAGCAGGGGUCCUUUUUUCACCGUGAAGGCGGAUUGUCAGAUCUCUGCACAGGGACUUUUCUAUUGUAAAAUAUUCAUAAGGUAACACUUACCGUUGUAACCAUUCCCAGUUGUGCGGUCCUGUGGCAUUAAAUACAUUCCCGCUUUACAGCCAUCACCACCAUACAACAGCAGAACUUUUUUAUCCUAAACUGAAAGUCUAGCCGUUAAACAGUAACUCCCAGUUUCCCUCUUCCCUUUCUAAGUGUUUAGUUAAAAAAAUUUUUUUAAUGUUUUAUUUAUCUUUGAGAGAGAGAGUGCGAGUGGGUUGGGGCAGAGAGAGAGGGAGGCACAGAAUCUGAAGCAGGCUCCAGACAACGAGCUGUCAGCACAGAGCCCGACGCGGGGCUCGGACUCACGGAUGGUGAGAUCAUGACCUGAGCUGAAGUGAGAAGCUUAACGGACUGAGCCACCCAGGCGCCCCCAAUAAAUGUUCAUUUUUACCUUUAAAAUGGCCCAUUCUUCAGUCGAGUUUGAGUACGUGCUGUGAACUGUCCCACCCCCGGCCAGCCACCCGGCUCUCUUCCCAGAAAGGACCGAUUCAGUGUCACGGAUCCAGCACCAACUUGGCUGGAGCUGAGCAUCUGAAACCGCCAAGUACCUGCUGACAUCCCAGGAAGGAAGUAACUGUGUGACCUUCUCAUCAUCACAAAACAGAGGCUCUACAGCCAUUGGAUCUUCUAAGUUAUCAGGGGAGGCAGGAGGCGACCCCAUGCUCAGGAGAUUGACAGCCUACCUGCGGAGAUGAGGUAACUCCUAACGAGUAAACAGUGACACCGCAGAGACAGUGGCGUGCUGCUGGAGAUGCUGUAAAUACCGAGGUCCCACAGACCUGGAGAGAGGUCUGGCUUUCGGUCUGGAGAUGACAUAGUUGUAACUGUAUCUUGAGCAAAGAUAUUUGGUGACAUGGAUGGAUUGGAGCAGGGAGACGCCUAAGGUUAUCACGGGAGUCUGUGACCACUGUUGUCUGUUGAGCCUGCACGGUGGUAGUUGGUGACAUCCGUCAUCUAUAGUCUGUCAUAGUCGAUACCGUCUGUCAUCUGUGCACUAUGGUAGUCCAUACUGUCUGAUAUCCAUAGAUGUGAUACUCCGUACCGUCUGUCAUCUAUGGAGUGUGAUAGUCCGUACUGUCUGCCAUCUAUAGAUAUGAUAGUCCACACUGACUGUCAUCUGUAGACUAUGAUAGUCCGUAGCGUCUGUGAAAUAGAGAGUGUGAUAGUCCGUACCAUCCGUCAUCUAUAGAGUAUGGUAAUCUGUACAUCCGUAGAGUACGAUAGUCCGUAUAAUCUGUCAUCUACAGAGUACAGUAGUCUACACCGUCUGUCAUCUAUAGAGUCUCAUAGUCGGUACCAUCCAUCGUGUAUAGAGUCUCAUAGUCCGUACCAUCCGUCAUCUAUAGACUAUGAUAGUCUCUACCAUCUGUCAGCUGUAGAGUAUGAUACUCCGGACUGUCUGUCAUCUAUGGAGUGUCAUAGUCGAUGCCCUCUGUCAACUAUAGAGUAGGAUAGUCUAAUCAUCUGCCAACCGUAGAGUACGAUAGACUAUACCAUCUGUCAUCUAGAGACCACGAUAGUCUUUACCAUCUGUCAUCUACAGAGUGUGACAGUCUAGACCAUCUGUCAUGUGUAGAGUAUGUGAGUCCACACCAUCUGUCAUCUCCAGAGUGUGAUAGUCCAUACCGUCUGUCGUCUGUAGCCCAUGAUAGUCUAUACUAUCUGUCAUCUAUAGGUCAUGACAAUCUCUACCAUCUGUCAUCUAUAGAGUCUGACAGUCUGUACCAUCUGUCAUCUCCAGAGUGUGAUAGUCCAUACUAUCUGUCAUCUAUAGACCAUGAUAGUCUCUACCAUCUGUCAUCUGUGGACUGUGACAAUAUACACCAUCUGUCACAUGUAGAGUCUGAUAGUCUAUACCACGUUCAUCUAGGGAGUAUGACAUUCCAUGCCAUCUGUCAGCUACAGACUAUGACAGUCCAUACUAUCUGUCACGUACUGAACGUGAGCUUGUAUCAUCCGUGGACGCUGAUAGUCUGUAUCGUCUACUCUCUGGAGACGUGAUCAUCUGUAUCCUCUAUAGACUGAUAAUCUGGAUCAUCUGUCAUUUAUUGGCAAAGUGUGAUGGUCUGUGUCAUCAGAUUGUAGACUGUGAUAUAGUGUGUCAUCUGUCCUCUGUAGACUCAUGUUGUAUCAUCUGUAGACUGCAGUAGUUUGUAUCGUCUGUCUGUAUACCGUGUGGUCUGUGACUUCUGUCUUCUCUUGUGACACAGACCAUGGUGUCUAUAAUGGAAGUUCCGGACCAGUAUUGGAGGGUCAGUAAAGGGAAUCUGAGGCCUUGAGAAGUGUGUAGGAAGAAAGAGGACAUGUGUUGAAGCCUGGAGGUAGAGACUAGGGGACGAGACACGUGAACAAGCACGGCAAAUUCCACUCCUCAGGGCAAAUUCCGCUCCUGAGCGUUCUAGAAAGUGCCAGUAACUGAUCUGUCUGACAGAAGGCAUCCCGUGGUUGCCUGGGAUGGGGCUGAGGGCUGGGUAGGCAGACUGCGGCAUGAGGAAGCUGGGCGGGUCGUAUGUCUGCUGCAUCGAGUGGGCACUGGUGUCACGGGUGCGCACAGGUGUCCCAGCACAUCCCCCCGUGCACUUAACAUUGGACGGUUGGCCGUGUGCCAGUCACGCCUCAGUCCGGCUGCCUGGUGACACCACCACUUUCCGUCUGAAGCACCAGGUGGGGGGCUAUGAACUGAGGGGUGUGGUCACUGUCUGCUGUAGACUUACUGCCCUGAGUGGGUUCUUGCCGAUGUCAGAGGACAGUCGGAUGUUGUCUUUGCCAAACUGCUCAUCUAAAAAUAUUCGCCCUUUGGUUUCCGAACCAAAAUGUGCUCUUUGAACCAGGCCUAGACACAUUGACCCCCGAGUCAGGUGCCGGCGAAGGCGGCACAGGGUGGCAGAGCGAAGGUGACUUUGGGGGAGGGAGGAACACGUCACCAUGGAAACGGUGGGUGCCGGGCUCCGCCCGCCCGUCCGGAGGCUUAUGUUUACCUGUGUCCUUGUUACCUCUCCUCAGACACAGGACCCGCAGUGACAUUGUGGGGCUGCACGCAAGGUGAAAGUGUGGUCUUGUGUUCAAGAAGUAGGCAGAAUUUCGAGACGAGCCCAGCAGGGCAUCUCCCUGUGCACGUGGCCUUCCACGGGGUCGGCCCCCCCCGACAGAGCGCCUGGGAGGGAACGGCUUCUGCCCACGCCUUCGCCUUCGCCGCCCCUGUCUGCGUGGUCCCAGCUCCUCCUCUUGAGAUCAGCGGCGUUUUCUCACAACCGUGGGGUCCCACUCAUAGACACCCGUGUCAGCCGCGAUGCAGGAAGAGAGAUCAGGCUUGAAUCUCCACCCUCCUCUGGCCGCUGGCUGCUCCAUUCCCACGAGGCCCUUCCUUUGGGGCCUGUUCGAGGCGCCGUGUCUGGCACGGAGCAGGUACCUACUGUCUCCUCUCGUCCGUCAGCAGAGAGAGCACAAAACAGGACUUUACUUACAGGCUUUUUAAGUUUGUGUGUUUAUUUUGAGAGAGAGAGAGAGAGGCGGGGAGGGCAGAGAGAGGAGAGAGAGAGAAUCCCAAGCAGGCUCCACACUGGCAGCACAGAGCCCGACACAGGGCUCGAACUCGCGAACCACGAGAUCGUGACCUGAGCCAAAACUGGGAGUCAGAUGCUUAACCGACUGAGUCAUCCAGGUGCCCCUAUUUACAGGCUUUUAAUCCAUUUUUUAUUUGUUUAUGCUUAAGGUUUGUCUUGGGGCUACGUGAGGUGCAGGGUGACAGGGGUGCGGUGACGGGGGUGUGGUGCUGAGGACGAGGAGGGGGCAGACGUGGAUUUCUGAGCCCGGUCCAGGGAAGGCCAGCGGCUGCCUGUCCUGAUGUCGGGGAGACUGAGGCGCUGCCCCGACCGGUACCCCACCCAUCCCCGCAGAGCAGAGCUGGGUCUCCAGCAAGAAAGGAGCGUGAGGGUUCUGGGGUCCGGGGGAGGCUGCCUGAUUCAGGUCCUGGUCCCGCCGUGUUGCAGCCGGGGGCCCCCGAGCGGGUGAAUCCUCCUCCCGUGCCUGUGCUCCCUGCCCUGAACCGGAGCUAGGACAGCGCCAGCCUCAGAGCCCAAAGGUCUGACUCCUGGAAGGCUGCUCACAGCACAUGGGCACCUAAGGGGCCACAUCUGUGUUCCACUGUUGACAUCAGAUUACACGGUUUUAAAAGAGGGGCUGAGUUGUCCUCUGAAAAUUUGCAUGUUGACAUCUUGACUCCCAGGACCUUGAGAUGUGACUUUAUUUGGAGACAGGGUCUUUGAAGUGGCGAUUAAGUUAAAAUGAGGUCAGCAGGAUGGACCCUGAUCCCAGUGACUCAGGGAGAGAAGGAAAUCAGGCACAGAUGCGCUCUGAGGGAGGGCCACAUGAGGACACAGAGCGACGAUGCCUGUCUGCAGGCGACGGGGGCCUCAGUAGGGACAUGUUCAUCGCGGGCCUGUAGCCCCAGGACUGGGAGAGAAAAGGUGUCUGAGCUCUAAGCCCCCACCUGUGGGGCUUUGUUAUGGCGGCCCCAGCAAGUUGUUCAGGAGCUAUGACACAUUGUAGUCCCCAAAUACUCGGGAAGGGGCGCUCACAGGUAUUCACGCAUCCUUCACCGCAGACUCUGGCAGGGGCCUCCGUCACGGCUCUCACCACCUCACACACACCCCUGCACGCACCUGCCGGCAUCUGCCUGCCGGUCUUUCCCUGAAAGGUUUAUGGUUCCAGCCGGAACAGUGUGAGGUCUCUCAGCGUAAACCAGAAGGACCAGAGCCGUGAGCCCCAGAGUGCGGAGGGCCGUGGCCUGGGUGCCGCGCUGGGCAGGUUACCUGCUACCCGUUCGGCCCCCAAGUCCAAGUGUUAGUGGCGACGUCACACCUGGCUCCGGAGAAACCCUUUCCCAGUCUGCCUUUGGACUCGUCACUUCCCGGCCGCUGCCCUUCGGCUUCCCCCGUCUGUGUUCUUCCUGUGUUUUCCGUCUUGUUUCUCAAAGCCUGGUCAGCCCGCUGAGAUUCGGAGCGUCCUGCUGUCCUCACACGGCUUUGCUGCCCCUUCUCUUCCCCUCGGCAGGGGUGAGGAGAACCCAGGGUCCCACACUCUGGUCUCAGAACCCCCAGGCGGCUCCCCUUCCUGCACAUCCUGCUGGCCCUCUGACCAUCUCACCCAGGCCUGUGUCCCAGUGCAGAAGACCCUCUGCCCUCCUAAUCUGCCACCCUAUUUCUGAUUUCCAAGAGAGGAGAGCCCAGAAUUUCUUACCGAGUAGCAAGAUGGUUUAAGAUCACGGACCGUGAAGCCAGAGUGCCUGGACUUAAAUCCCAGCCUUCCACCGACAUGCUGUGUGAUGUGAGACACACUGCGUAGCCUCUCUGGGCUUCUGUUUCCUCGCUUGUAGGAGAGGGGUGAGCUGACCGCUCCCUGGUGGAGGACAAAGCCCUUGGAAGGGCCAUGUCAGUCCACGGUGAGCAGUCGUCAUCGUUAGUCGCAAACCGCUCACGUGGGCGCCGCCACCGCUCAGGAGAAAGCGUUUGCGCGGUUCAAUCAGUGAGUGAGACACACAGCCUCCUCCCUGGCUUCCAGCCUCCCGCACUGUCCUGUGCCUCCGCCAGCCCGGAUGAGCACAGCAGCCUGGGGCUGAUCACGUUCGUCAAGUUUGUGCCGAAGGCCGCGGGUUCUUUUCCAGGGUCGAGAAAAGGCCACGAUGGUGAAAUAAGCCCCAGAAAUGGACUGAAGAAAACAGUAAAUAAAGCCUGGAUUAUUGCACUGCUGGUGGGAAUGCAAACUGGUGCAGCUGCCCUGGAAAACAGCGUGGCGUUUCCUCAAAAAAUUAAAACUAGAACUACCCUACGACCCAGCAAUUGCACGACUAGGCAUUUACCCAAGGGAUACAGGUGUGCUGUUUCGAAGGGACACAUGCACCCCCAUGUUUGUAGCAGCAGUUCCAACAAUAGCCCAAGUAUGGAAAGAGCCCAAAUGUCCCUCGAUGGAUGAAUGGGUAAAGGACAUGUGGCAUAUAUAGACAAUGGAGUAUUGCUCGGCAAUCGAAAAGAAUGAAAUCUUGCCGUUUGCAACUACGUGGGUGGAACUGGAAGGUAUUAUGUUUUUUUGUUUUGUUUUUGUUUUUUAAUUUUUUUUCAUUUAUUUAAUUUCGAGAGACAGUGACAGAGUGUGAGCAGGGUAGAGGCAGAGAAACAGGGAGACACAGGAUCAGAAGCAGGCUCCAGGCUCCGAGCCGACAGCACAGAGCCUGACAUGGGUCUCGAACCCACGACCUGUGAGAUCAUGACCUGAGCUGAAGUCGGAUGCCCAACCGACUGAGCCACCCAGGCGCCCCUAGAGGGUAUUAUGUUAAGCGAAAUUAGAGAAAGACAGACAUCCUAUGACUUCGCUCGUGGAAUUUAAGAUACAGAACAGAUGAACAUAAGGGAAGGGAAGAAAAAAACAAUAUAAAAAUGGAGGGGGACGAAACAUCAGAGACUCUUAAAUACGGAGAACAGACAGGGUUGCUGGAGGGGAGAGGGGAGGGCUAAAUGGGCAAGGGGCAUUGAGGAGGGCGCUCGGGGUGAGCACUGGGCGUCGCACGUAGGGGAUGAAUCACCGGCUCUACUCCUGUAGCAUUACCGCACUAUAUGCUAACUAGCUUGGAUGUAAAUUAAAAAUUAAUUCAUGAAAAGAAGCAAAGCCUGGUUUAGACGAGCCACGCCCUGCUGUCCCCGUCUGUCCCCUCCUUCCUUUGAAGAUUGUCAGGCACCUGUUGUGAUCAGAUACAGGCCAGCCAUGCGGGGCGCCGAGCCGCCCCCGCAGGGUGGCGCUUGUGGGAGAAGGUGGCCUCCCACGCGCUGCCAAGGGUCGUGGUCUUGAACUUGAGGCUGUGGGAGCCGGCCAGGCUGGAGGAAGGUGUGGCAGGGGAGUGGGGGAGGGGGCCAGGGAGCAGGGACUCCCUCGGGGCGGACCCGGGGCGGUCUCUCUGCACGCGUGGGAUGGAGUCACGUGGCCGCAGGGAUUUUUUUCCGGAGUCCGUGGGCAAAGGCAGAAAACACAGGUGGUCUCAGUUACCCCAGAUGGCCCCUGAACGUCACCCAUGCAGCAGAGCGAGGCUCUCACUGCGCCCGGCCCAGGGCGUGUGCGCCACCGGUCGUUUGUGUCUGUCCCGGAAGGCCACGCAGCGCGUGUUCUCCAGCCUCGUGUCCCAGUGCUUCUGCGCUCCAGGCCAGCAAAGCACCUGCGGGCUGUUCGUGUGUGGGGUGCAUGUUAGGGAUUAAAACUGGUGGUGCGUUAAA